AACGAACGCUGGCGGCAGGCUUAACACAUGCAAGUUGAACGGGAUUUGUGUGGUGCUUGCACCAUAUAAUGAGAGUAGCGCACUGGUGAGUAACACGUGGGAACGUGCCUUUUAGUGGGGGAUAACAUCUGGAAACGGAUGCUAAUACCGCAUACGCCCUGAGGGGGAAAGAUUUAUUGCUAAGAGGUCGGCCCGCGGUAGAUUAGGCAGUUGGUGGGGUAAAGGCCUACCAAACCUACGAUCUAUAGCUGGUCUGAGAGGACGAUCAGCCACAUUGGAACUGAGACACGGUCCAGACUCCUACGGGAGGCAGCAGUGAGGAAUAUUGGGCAAUGGAGGCAACUCUGACCCAGCCAUGCCGCGUGAGUGAGAAGGUUUUCGAAUUGUAAAGCUCUUCCGGGUGUGAAGAUGAUGACGGUAACACCAGAAGAAGCCCGGCAAACUUCGUG
rnacentral:rRNA from 1 species